rnacentral:rRNA from 2 species
UACGGAGGAUGCGAGCGUUAUCCGGAUUCAUUGGGUUUAAAGGGUGCGUAGGCGGCCCGGUAAGUCAGCGGUGAAAGUUUGCGGCUCAACCGUAAAAUUGCCGUUGAUACUGUCGGGCUUGAGUUCAGAUGAAGUGGGCGGAAUGAGUAGUGUAGCGGUGAAAUGCUUAGAUAUUACUCAGAACACCGAUUGCGAAGGCAGCCCACUAAACUGCGACUGACGCUGAUGCACGAAAGCGUGGGGAUCGAACAGG